rnacentral:rRNA from 1 species
CAUGUCUAAGUAUAAACUGCUUAUACUGUGAACCUGCGAAGGGCUCAUUAAAUCAGUUAUAGUUUAUUUGAUGGGACCUCUACACGGAUAACCGUGUUAAUUCUCGGGAUAAUACACGCGCAAAUCCCCACUUCUGGAAGGGACGUAUUUAUUAUAUAAAAUGCCGACGGGGCUCUGCCCGACCCGCGGUGAACCUUGAUAACUUCACAAAUCUCAUAUGCUUGUGCUGGCGAUGUUUCUCUCAAAUUUCUGCCCUAUCAACUUUCAAUGGCCUAAUAGAGGCCUACCAUGGUGGUAACGGGUGACGGACGAUUAGGGUUCGAUUCCCGAGAGGGAGCCUGAGAAACGGCUAGACAUCCAAGGAAGGCAGCAGGCGCGCAGAUUACCCAAUCCUGAUACGGGGAGGUAUAGACAAUAAAUAACAAUACCGGGCAUUCAAUGUCUGGGAAUUGGAAUGAGUACCCUCUAAAUCCCUUAACGAGGAUCCAUUGGAGGGCAAGUCUGGUGCCAUCAUCCGCGCUAAUUCCACCUCCAAUAGCGUAUAUUUAAGUUGUUGCAGCUAAAAAGCUCGUAGUUGGAUUUCGGGUGGGUUCCAGCGGUCCGCCUAUGGUGAGUACUGCUGUGGCCCUCCUUUCUGUCUCGGAUCGUCUCCUGGGCUACACUGUCCGGGAAUCGGAUUCCACUAUGAUACUUUGAGUAAAUUAGAGUGUUCUAAGCGCGCCUACGCUCUGAAUACUUUAACAUGGAAUAUCGCGAUAAGACUCUGGCCUAUCUCGUUGAUCUGUAGGACCGAACUACUGAUUAAGACGGACAGUCUCGGGCAUUCGCAUUUCAUUUGUCAGAUGUGAGAUUCUUUGGAUUAAUGCCAGACGAACUACUGCUGAAGCAUUUCCUCCCGCAUUGUUUUCUUUACUCAAGAACGGAAAGUUGAAGGGCUCGCAGACCAUGUACAUACUCGUCGUACUCUCACCCAAUCAGACGAUGGCCGACUAGACAUUGCC